rnacentral:rRNA from 1 species
GAUUUCUGGUUUGAUGUACCUAUCCCGCUGCAGCAAUGCAUGUGAGUGAUGGAGUAUGUCAGCCAUCUUUCUAGAGAACCCAAGCUAUCCUUUACUGGACCGGUUUGGGUCAUCUAGAUCUUUUACUUUGAAAAAAUUAGAGUGUUUAAAGCAGGCUUUUGCUAUGAAUACAUUAGCAUGGAAUAAUAAUUUAGGACUUCGGUUCUAUUUUGUUGGUUUCUAGGACUGAAGUAAUGAUUGAUAGGGAUAGUUGGGGGUGCUAGUAUUCAGCGGCCAGAGGUGAAAUUCUCGGAUUCGCUGAAGACUAACUUAUGCGAAAGCAUU